rnacentral:rRNA from 1 species
AGUCGUAACAAGGUUUCCGUAGGUGAACCUGCGGAAGGAUCAUUACCUAGAGUUUGUAGACUUCGGUCUGCUACCUCUUACCCAUGUCUUUUGAGUACCUUCGUUUCCUCGGCGGGUCCGCCCGCCGAUUGGACAACAUUCAAACCCUUUGCAGUUGCAAUCAGCGUCUGAAAAAACAUAAUAGUUACAACUUUCAACAACGGAUCUCUUGGUUCUGGCAUCGAUGAAGAACGCAGCGAAAUGCGAUAAGUAGUGUGAAUUGCAGAAUUCAGUGAAUCAUCGAAUCUUUGAACGCACAUUGCGCCCCUUGGUAUUCCAUGGGGCAUGCCUGUUCGAGCGUCAUUUGUACCUUCAAGCUCUGCUUGGUGUUGGGUGUUUGUCUCACCUCUGCGUGUAGACUCGCCUUAAAACAAUUGGCAGCCGGCGUAUUGAUUUCGGAGCGCAGUACAUCUCGCGCUUUGCACUCAUAACGACGACGUCCAAAAGUACAUUUUUACACUCUUGACCUCGGAUCAGGUAGGGAUACCCGCUGAACUUAAGC